AUGGCCUGGUCCCCUCUCCUCCUCACCCUCCUUGCUCACUGCACAGGAUCCUGGGCCAAGUCAGUGCUGAGUCAGCCGCCCUCAGUGUCUGGAAACCUGGGUCAGAAGGUCACCAUCUCCUGCACUGGAAGCAGCUCCAACAUUGGGGGUGGCAACUAUGUGCACUGGUACCAGCAGCUCCCAGGCACAGCCCCCAAACUCCUCAUCUAUGGUAAUAAUAAACGACCCUCUGGGGUCUCAGAUCGAUUCUCAGGUUCCGUGUCUGGCAACUCGGGCUCCCUGACCAUCACUGGACUGCAGCCUGAGGACGAGGCUGACUAUUAUUGUGAGUCCUACGACAACACUGUGAGUGCUCACACAGUGCUCCAGGAUCAUGGGGAAGUGUGGGGGACAGGCCAGCUUCUCUCCCCCAACGGCAUCUUCCGGUCCAUCCUUGGCAGCACUGUCAUCUAG